rnacentral:rRNA from 1 species
AUUGAACGCUGGCGGCACGCUUAACACAUGCAAGUCGAACGGCAGCGCGAGAGAGCUUGCUCUCUUGGCGGCGAGUGGCGGACGGGUGAGUAACGCGUAGGGAUCUGCCCUAGAGUGGGGGAUAACCUGGGGAAACUCGGGCUAAUACCGCAUAGACUCUAAGGAGUAAAGCAUGCCUCUGCAUAUGCAUGCGCUUUAGGAUGAACCUGCGUCAGAUUAGCUUGUUGGUAGGGUAAAAGCCUACCAAGGCGACGAUCUGUAGCUGGUCUGAGAGGACGAACAGCCACACUGGGACUGAGACACGGCCCAGACUCCUACGGGAGGCAGCAGUGGGGAAUAUUGGACAAUGGGGGCAACCCUGAUCCAGCGAUGCCGCGUGUGUGAAGAAGGCCUGCGGGUUGUAAAGCACUUUAAUUGGGGAGGAAGGCUUAGAGUCGAAUAGGCUUUAAGAUUGACGUUACCCAAAGAAUAAGCACCGGCUAACUCUG